UUUGCCUUCGAAUAACUAAAAUGGUGAUUCAUUACAUUUUAGUUCAGACAGAGGCAUAUAUAAAACACCCGAAUUGGUUUGGUUUGAUGGUACUGAAUGAAUGCAUCAUUUUCAGUUCCAUUUCCAUACCUGUAGUUUGUUCCAAUUCGGACAUUC